rnacentral:rRNA from 1 species
GACGAACGCUGGCGGCGUGCUUAACACAUGCAAGUCGAACGGUGAAGCGAGUGCUUGCACUCGUGGAUCAGUGGCGAACGGGUGAGUAACACGUGAGUAACCCGCCCAUCACUCUGGGAUAAGCACUGGAAACGGUGUCUAAUACUGGAUACGACCAACCCUUGCAUGGGGUGUUGGUGGAAAGAUUUAUCGGUGAUGGAUGGACUCGCGGCCUAUCAGCUUGUUGGCGGGGUAAUGGCCCACCAAGGCGACGACGGGUAGCCGGCCUGAGAGGGUGGCCGGCCACACUGGGACUGAGACACGGCCCAGACUCCUACGGGAGGCAGCAGUGGGGAAUAUUGCACAAUGGGCGAAAGCCUGAUGCAGCGACGCCGCGUGAGGGAUGACGGCCUUCGGGUUGUAAACCUCUUUCAGCAGGGAAGAAGCGAAAGUGACGGUACCUGCAGAAGAAGCACCGGCUAACUACGUG